UCAAGACGACAUUCAAGUCGUCCUGCAGACUGUCAUGUUUCGUGGGACACCCUGUAUACCAAUACCAUGUCAUGAAUGUAUGGUUUAUAAAACUGCAAAUUGAGAAAUUAUACGUUCAUCAGUAAACUUGAAAAAUUAUCCGAUGGGCAUAACAAUACUUCUCCGAAACAUAAGAGCUUAUACCCAGGUUUCAUUAUGCUGGGUCUGCCAGGAGAUUUAAGUACUGCAUGAAGUUCACAUGUUAAGGAAAUAAGGAAAAUCAAGAAGUUUUAUUUCAAGAAAUCUUUGAGAAAAGAAAAAAUUGGAGUUAAAGAGUACUUCACAAUAAUUAGAAACCCUAUUAAAAUAUUGUUUUUUUAAUAAAUAAAUUGUUAAGCCCA